rnacentral:rRNA from 1 species
GCGUGUGUGAAGAAGGCCUGCGGGUUGUAAAGCACUUUCAGCAGAGAAGAAAAGCGUUGUGCUAAUAUCAUAGCGUCUUGACGUAACCUGCAGAAGAAGCACCGGCUAACUCUGUGCCAGCAGCCGCGGUAAUACAGAGGGUGCGAGCGUUAAUCGGAAUUACUGGGCGUAAAGCGUGUGUAGGUGGUUACUUGAGUCGGAUGUGAAAGCCCCGGGCUUAACCUGGGAAUUGCAUUCGAUACUGGGUGGCUAGAGUAUGGUAGAGGGUAGCGGAAUUCCCGGUGUAGCGGUGAAAUGCGU